AAAGACCCAGACGGAGGAGGACUUUUAUUAUGACAGCGAGUAUCGCUCACUCAAAGCAAUGGCGGAAGAGCGCUAGCUUUGUACAAGUGUCUCGCUGUGUGAGGCAUGAAUCAUGUUGUUGUGGAGACAAUAGCACCAGAUUGUUACGCGGUGUGUUCAUGUGCGUCAUUAAAGGAAACCACAUCUACACCUGCCUAUGAUCUGGCUAAGCUCUCAAAUAUAGCCAGGCACUCAUGCAUCUCCAUUCACAUGCCAUGCAACCAAGCUCAUAAAUACAGCUCUGGCCUAUCUCUCUUAAAGGAGCAUACCCUCAUCCUGUGCAGAGCUUCAUUAAAGGACUACUACCAAUAUUCACCAUUACCUUCAUCAACGACUGCUCUGCUAUCCAAGUUGUGCCUCUCAUUCAGAGUUCUGUGCUGUGUUACAGACGAUC